GGGAGGCCCAGGUGGGACCAGGAGCAGGAGCCGCACUUUAGGGACGUUUUCCCGGACUUGGUUGCAGAAACAAAUUCCUUAAAUUCCUCAGGGCAAUUCCAUCCUCCAGCCAGCGAUCUUCCUCGGUGGAAAGAGUGAAGUCACAGCCCACGUUUGGUCUUGCUAUGCAUUCUAGGCUGGCCUGAAACUCAGAGCGAUCCUCUUGCUUCAGCCUCCCGAGUGCUGGGAUUACAGGCGUGCCCACCAUUCCCAUCUUCUGGCCAGAUUCUUUUCAAAUAAAUCCCUGCCCUGCUGAGGUCAUGAAGACGCUGACUGGCUCAGGAAUUCCCCGAGACUUCUCCUAGCACACUUGUGGGUCCCACUCUGAGAGUCCCCAUUACUCAUCGCUGAUCUCCACCCUGCUGGGGGCCGAGUUGGUAGUUUUGUUUUUUCUUUUGGUACCGGGGAUCGAGCUCCGGACCUUGCUCUUGCAAGGCAGGCAGGCGGCAGCACCACUGAGCUAAAUCCCCGGUCCUUUGGUUGCAGUUUUAAGCCCAGUGCGGACACCACUGUGCACUCGGGAUCUUGGGCUGCAGUUUUUGUGGGGGAUUUUUAGGCAGAAUAUUUAUUGGUACGCUUUUUCUUUUAUUUCUUUUUUGGUACCAGGGAUUGAACUCGGGCUCUUGCGCUUGCGCAGCAGGCAGCAAAACCACUGAGCUAAAUCCCCGGCCCUGUUGGUA
rnacentral:lncRNA from 1 species